CCCUUAGAUGUUCUGGGCCGCACGCGCGCUACACUGACGAAGUCAGCGAGCAUCUCCUACGCCGAAAGGUGCGGGGAAUCUUGUGAAACUUUGUCGUGCUGGGGAUUGAUUUUUGAAAUUCUUGAUCAUAAACGAGGAAUUCCUAGUAAGCGCAAGUCAGCAGCUUGCGUUGAUUACGUCCCUGCCCUUUGUACACACCGCCCGUCGCUACUACCGAUUGAAUGGUUUAGUGAGAUGUUUGGACCGGAACUCUCUUGCUCAGCAAUGGGCGAGAGAGAGUCUGGGAAGUCCCUCGAACUGUAUCAUUUAGAGGAAGUAAAAGUCGUAACA
rnacentral:rRNA from 1 species